CCAACCGCACACUUCCUCCCUCCGUUUGACCCAUCCGGGGAGGGCGGGGGCUGCUGAGCUGGCAGUCCCACUGUUUAUCCGACCUGGUGCUCUGGCUUGGGCGGAGACAGUACCUUGAGCUCCGAGUGCCUUCUCCCACCUCCUCUGCCCUCUAGGCUUCAAGGGAAACAGAAGUUCUUCUCAAGUUAAACAACAAAGCGAAACGUCCUGUAUCCAAGUCAUAUGUAGAUAUGAACAAAGAGCAAAGAAUUUGUCCUGGAAGUCCUCGUAUUCUUCUCCUCAUCUUCCUGGUCACCUAUAAACUGAUCAUUGAGAAAGAGAAUGGGCUCACAAUGAAAGUCAGGUUUUACACUAGUCUGUUUUGCCCUGAGCUAUGGAGAGGAUCAAGAUCCCAGAGGAAUGGAUACUCCAACUGGGUGGGAACCAGAUGGGGAAAUUGAGGUCAAGAGAGAUCUCAGAUCUGGAACAAGGCUGGAGAGUGGAGUGCCUUGAAUACUAAGCUAAGGGAUCUCAGCUUUGCAAUGCGGACCAGUGAUGUUUCAACAUUUCCUCAUUUGAAUGCUUAUUCAUUGACCCACUUCCUACAUGCCAUGUGACCAGAUGUCCCAAGAAGAGUUCCUUUGGGAUGAAGUUAAUUCUCAUCCUUUGUAUACCAUUGUGAAAUAGCACUGCUGAGAUGGUGACAAGACACAUCUGAAGCAAUCACCUAGACGAGUGCCAAGGAUCCAAAAGCUUUAGCUUCUCAUCCUGCUGUUAACUUGUUCUGCUAGCCCAGACGGAAUCCUGAGCUCUCCUAUAGUUAAACAAGAAGCAUUCAUCCUCAGAACCAGUGGCUCUGGCCCCUUCUCCCACCAUGAACUCGACGUAAUAAAUAACCAGAGGAUACUGGAGUAGGAGGUGCCACAACCUUGUGUGACCCAGAUACUCGUUCAUUGAUUUUUCCCUACUAAUUAUUGAGCACUUCAGAUGCCCUGGGUGUUGAGGAUAAGCAAUAAAGAGGUUUCUAGAUCCUUUUGGGGUUGACAUAUGGGCAGUAUAAUCUUCUGUGAUCCUACCUCAGUGAAAACAUUCCAGUCAUCUGUGGGCAGGGGUAACAAAGGCCAUGAAACUUCUGCAGGUUUAGGGGUGGAGAGGGGCCUCCCUGCUGGGGGCCCAUCUCCUCUGCCACCUCUUUCCUGUCAUACAGCAGUGAGGAUCGGGACCUGCUCUGUCAACUCUGUUACGUGGUUUACUGGCCAAGGUAACCAGGAGAUCAGCCUGUGGAGUUUGGGGGUCAGGAGGGCUUGAGUUUGAGUCUUGACUCCAUCAUUAAUCAGUUGUGUGACUUUGGAAACUCAGUCUCUUCAGUUCACUCAAAAGGAGGCUGGGCUACGAGAAGUCCAACAAAGCACAUGGUAAGCAUUUUACUAGAUUACUGUUAAUUUUUUAAAGCUAUAUAUUCUUUGGCCAUGAACAAGCAAUGAAAGAGAACAAACAAUGAUCAGAAUGAUAGCUAACAUUUAUUGAGUGCCUAGGAUGGAUUAGGCACUGUUGAAAGAUUUCUCCAUGUACUAAAUUAAUUCUCUUCACCAUCAAUGAGGUCUGUACAAUUAACGUCAGUGUACAAAGAAGAAGCACAUCUAGCCACAGGUAGAGGAGUCAGGAUUUGAACCAAGGUGGCUGAACUUGAGCGCUUGCACUCACCAGCAGGAGGUACAACUUACAUACAGCAAAGUGCACAAAUCUCAUGAGAAAGCUUGAUGAGUUUUUAUAUAUGUAUACAUCCAGGUAGCCAUUACCCAGAUCAAGAUGAUCAGACGGGGAUUCAGAGAAGACGGUGAUUUGCUCAGACUUAAGCCACAGCAAAGCCAUGCCUGGAACUCAAUUACUAGAUAGAAGUUUCUUAUGAACUUCUAAGCUGUCUGAAAUGGGUGCUAUAUAUCACUCAACCUGGCUGCUGGUCAGAUGUGGAAAGGACAAUCUGAGUCAGAAGCCCUGGGUUCAAACCCCACAACUGUUACCAGUGUGUGAUGCAUGGCAAGGUACUUGCUGCUGUGAACUAACUGGAAAGUGGAUACCCCUGCUUCCCAGCAUUGCUGGAUUAAAGGAGAUCACGAUGCAGAGACACUCCAUUGGUUGAGAAGCACUUAACAUCAUUAUUAUCAUUACCAUCAAAAUAUAUUCUAAGGGGAUGCUUUGGAGCCUGAGAUGUAAGGUUGAGCUGAACAGAGGCAUGAUGCACAGAUAACUGUGGCUCAAACCUGAAGAGUGAAGCAGGGUGAGGCCCACGGUGUGGAGGCUGGCCAGAGCGGACAGUUACUGAGAACAUUCUAUGCGGUGAGCGCUGCUCUGAGUGCUCUUCCUCUAUCCUCCCAUUUAAUCCUCACAAAACCCUGUGAGGAACAACCUGUAUAUGCCUAUUUUCCAAAGAAGGACUUGAGGCACAGAGCACUUAAGCAACUCGCUUAAUGUCACAGUCAAUGGCAUUGAAACCCUGGCACCCCCAAGCAUAUGGUCUUUUCGUUCACCCUGCAUUCAUUCACCCAAGGCUGACACAGUGCCCCCUCUGUGCUAGGGGGCGGGGUGCAGAGCUGAACACUUUGGUUCCCCCAACCCCACAGCCCUCACCGUCUUUCUAAUCCAAUCCAGUUGGCACUCUCCCACACUUAACUCAAGAACUUCUCUGAAAUGUGGCUGGUCUGAGCUCAUGUGCUGUAUGUGUAGAAUACACACCAGGUUUAGAAGACCUAAUACAAAAAGAAUGCAAAAUAUACCAUUAAUAAUUUUUAAUAUUGACUGCAUCUUGAAGUGACUGUGUUUUGGAUAUAAACUAUAUCAUUAAGGUUUAUUGUACCUUUAAGAAAAAAAAGUGGCCACCAGAAAACUAAAGUCAUGUGGGCGUUCACAUGCUAUUUCUGUUGGAUGGCGUUGCUCUAGAAUGUGAAGUCCUUGAAGGCAGGGGCCGUCUCUGUAUUGUUCACUGUGGGUCCCAGGAGACAGAACAGGGCCAGUACACAAUAGUCCCUCAAUAGAGUUGUUGGAUAAUUGAAUAAAUGACCAAAUCCCACGCACCUUUGCCUGCUCAUCUGUUCCCUGUGAACACAAGGUCAGACCUCACUUGUACCUUGCUUUGUCUCUCCGGGAAAUCCCUCAGUUAUUCUGAGGCUUAAACAGAAAACGGAGGCUGCUUCAUGCCAAGAAAUGGAGAGGCUGGAUAUGUGGUGGAAUUUGGAAAAUAAAAAGGGUCAGAGUAUUUCCAGCCACAAUGGCAGCUAUCACUGACUGGAUGCAAAUUCUGUGCCUGGCAUCAUUCUCAACACUUUGUACGAGUGAGCCAUUUAAUUCUAACGACCCUAUGACAUCCAUCUCGCCAUCAGCUCCAUUUGAUAGAUGGGGGAAAUUAAAGCUCAGAUAGACUAAGUCACACCCCUGGGAUUACAGGGCUGGAUUUGUAACCAGGUCUGUUUGAUAAUGACACUUGGGUUCUCAACCACUCCCACAGAGCAUAGGGAAAAUGGGACUGGGAUUCCCCCUCCCCCACAGAAUGACCCUUCACCAGGUCCCCUUUGUGCUGAGGCCCCAGAGCAGCCCUAGACAGCAGAUGUCCUGGCUCUCCUGGGUUCUGGGGAACCUAUCAUCUGUGUGGUGUAUUACCACAUUUUCUGGGCAUCUAGGCUCAUUCUGCCAGUACAUCCAGCCAUAUCUUGUCAUGUAUCUUCUUCACCAGAUGGCUGGGCUGUUUGUGGGCUGGCUCCCCCACCUUCUGUACCUGUGACAUGGCCAUGAGCCAGCAGGUGAGUGAGCAUCUGGGGCAGGGAAUAGCCCCCACCAGUGCCUUCUGAGAACCCAUCCCUUCUUGUCCUUUGGGACCUUGGCUUCUACCGAUUCCUGGAGAGCAGAAACUCGCAUAGAGGCCCCAAACCACUUGUUCCAGUGCUGCUGAGGAAUGUGUGCUGAUCUUCCAUGUGUUUGUGUUAGUCCAUUGUCCCUUCAGGUCAGGUGGUGGGCCUGCAGGUCAUGAACCCAGGUGCUGGGAUCAGGCACCGUGCGCUUCAGUUCAGAACAUCACCUCUCUCUAGCCGUAUUGUUGGAGAGCUCAUUCUUUCUCUCUAAGGCUCAGCCUCCUCUUCAGUGAAAUGAGGUCAGUAAGAAACCACUUACGUUGCUAUUGUUUCCUGUCAAGGCGUAGCUCAAAGUCUUGACCCCCUGUCCUCUAAACUCAUACCGCAGUCCUGACUCCUGCAUGGAUUAACACCCAUUCAUUUGUCAUGUCACCUGGUGGUGUGCAUGCAUCUGGCAGGUAUGGUUCCCAUGGUCUUCAAAGAGAAAAUGCUUAGCACAUGAGCUAGCACUACUGCCCAGUUCAGGUCCUGAGCCUGCUCCUUCUUACUCCCUAUAUGGCCUUGGUGAGGUUACUCUACCUCUCUGAACCUCGGUUUCCUUAUCUCUAAGUGGCGAUAGUAAUACCCCUCUUGAAAGGUUGUGGUGGGACCACGUGGAACAGUCCUGGAAAACGCAUGUAAAAUGCGGUCAUGACUUCAAGAGGGGCGUGUUCAUGUCCCUGUCCAUCCACACCCUACCUGGCACCUGCUCUUCCCAUGAUGACCAGCCCAUCUCCGUGAAUGCAACUCAGCUUUCCCUUUGCUGAAGCCAAAAAAACUUGGCAUCAUCGUUGACUCCGUUCUCUCUCAAACAGCCGUGAAAUACUGUUGGCGGGUUGUCCCGCCUUCACCUGCUCCACCCCUCUGCUGACCCUGGUCAAAGUCGCCAGCAUCUCCUACCUGCAUCUCAACUCCUCCCUGGUCUCCCUGUUUCCAUCCUUGACUCCACAGCAUGAUCCUUUGGUGGGAUUAGCUUGUUUGUAGAUCGUUUUUAUUUUUUUAAGCAAAUACUUAAAUGGUGCUCCCUAGGUGCCAGGCACAAGUCUGAGUGCUUUACAGAUUUCAACUCACCUGGAUUCUUACAACAGCCCCAGGAAGACAGUACUUAACUGAAGUCACCCAUCUAGUCAGUGGCAGGGCUGGGGUGGCCAUCUGGCUCCUGAUUGGUGCUGCCAACAGUGAUCCUCUUAAAACACAUCAGAUUGUGUCCCUGCUCUGCUCAGACCCUCCAGUGGCUUCUCGUGGGCUCGGAGUAAAAGCCAAAUCCUCACCAUUCUGCUCUAGCUACGUUGGCCUUAAACACCGCAAGCACACUCCUGCCUCAGGGUCUCUAUGCUUGCUGGUUUGCUUUCAUGUCCUCAGCCCAACCAGCCCUGAUUUUCUCAGGGCCAUGAGCUCUGUUAAUGUCCAUGAGUUUGGACAUUAUCUGAAGGGAAUGAGGAAUCCACUAAGGAGCAUGGAAAAAAAGUCACGUAAUGUGAUGUGCCGGAGCUUGUACCUGCUCACCAGGGCCAGUUGUUGAAUUUUUAGGAGAUUCGCAAGCUGAGUAUUAAAUCAUGGUAGCUUGAAAUUCAAAAACAGGUGAGAGAGAGCAUUUACACCAUGGAAGUUGGCAAGCACUACAAAUCAUGGCUCCCCUCCCACCCUGCCUCCCCAGAGAGCUGUCGUCAAGUAUUUACCAGCACGCCAGUGGCUUUGACAAAGGUUUGUAUGAAGUGCAAGUAAGGUGUUAACUUACUAAGUGAGGACAGUCUUCCCAGAAGACCUGGCAUUUAAACUGGGUCUUGAGACAUCAGUAGGCACUUGCCAAAGGUGAGAAGGCAUCCCAGACUGAGCAAACCAAGUGAGGAAAAGCACAAAGGUAUGAAAUUUCCCUUUGGGGUUAUUAAGUACUGCAGGGUGGCAAUGGUGUGUGGAGGGGAGGAGGAGGGGGAAGGCAUGUUGUGUGGAAAGAGAACAGCAGGGAUAGGCUGGAGGCAGAUUGCGUGAGAACCUCAAGACCAGGUAAGGGGCUUGGACUCUCUCCUGGGGUCCUCGGGAGCCAUGGCAGGUUGUGGAGCAAGGGUAGGUCAAGGCAUUGCUGAACACUGCAUGUUAGCAAGCCUAUUCUGGUUGUCGUGUGGAGAAUGCAUCGGAGAUGGGAGGUCAGGCACUGUUUGGAACCAGUUCACUUUGCAUGCUUAUGGUGAGGGUUAGGAGUAGAUGAUACAGACAGUGCCUGCCUAUGGAUAUUCCCAUACAGCUCUGUGGGAAGACUUGUUCCAUGGAGGUCCCAUGAGCCUCUUUUUGGGGGGUUAGUUCACUGCCAAUUGCAAAGCUUUCUGGGAAACAAGAAAAUUGCAGUGAGUCCUCCUUGUAAGGGAGCGUGUAAGGGGGUUGUCGUCCAUCUGACCUUGGGACCUCCCUCCCUUGGGACCCAGGCUCCAUGCACAGUCAGUCCCGGGAAGGCCAUAGGAAGUGGGUGGAAAUAAUAGCAAGUGUGGGCACUUUCUAAUUGUAGACUGCUCAAGGCUCUUUACGUGUGUUAACGCCUUUGGUUCCCCAGCGUGCCAUUGGGGGAGGAACAGUUGUCAUCCCCAUCUUACAAGUGAAACAGAGAUUAGGCAACUUGUGCGAGGGCCAGCCAGUGCACAGAAGAGCUGGACUCCAACCCUAGAGACCAUCCUCUUUACUGCCAUCCUAUGCUGCCUCUCUGUUUUCAGAUACAAUGGUUCUUAUUUUUGCAAUGGCCACAGCUCCUACUUUUAUUUUCCAUUUUGUACGUAGAGAAGCUGAGGUUCAAGGAGAUUUCACGGUUGUCCCGGGCCAGUGAGCAGCAGAGCUGGCCCUCAAACCCUGCAGCCUGAGUCCCGCCUUCCAGGAAGGAGGGAGACAAGAUGAGAGAAGGUAAAGAUGGGCCCCAGAGGGCAAGAGUGCCCCAGCCUGUGAGGUUUGGGUCCGGUGCUUUCAAAAGGAUGAGAAUUUUUGUCUUCAUAGUUUGGAAAUCCCAUAGGAGGACACAAACAUCACCCACAAUGGCUCUUUUCCCGCCACACCCACCUCCUCUCUUGGCCAAGACUUUGGUUCUUCCAGGAUGUGACAACAAAAUCUUGCCUCAGAGUUGGAGGAUGCAAAUGUCAGGGCUUCCCUCUGGGUCUUAGAGGAUAGGUGUUUCGGGGAGUGGUUUCACUGGGAGUGAAGAAAACUGCUGUCCAAACCCCAUGUCACUUUGCAUUUUGAAACUCUGCCCGUAGGCCUUGGUGUACAUCCCUGAUAGUUAACACACACCAAGUGGUGGAGCCUGGAGAGGUGCCCGGUGCCCAUCACAGCCUGGGGAAGCCCCAAGAAGCUGGCACAUGAUGAAUUAGGAGUUACCCGGUUUACUGAGCAGCAUCAGCAUCAACUUUGGGGGCCAACUUCGAAGAAAUCCAAGGAGCCUAUAACAAGAACUCCCAUUUAUUGAGCACUCAGUAUGAACCAGGAACCAGGCUAAGCAUCUCACUGACUACUCAAACAAUGCUAUACCUAAGCCUUGGUUGAAAGAUGGGAAACUGAGUUUAAGUGUCCUGCCCCAGGACAUUUGAAUCCAGGUCAGACUCCAUGUGUGCAAAUUAAACACCUGCACCCUGACUGCUGUGGGGGAGCGAAGGCAGAAGCAGCAGGACCAGUGAGGAGGUAGACACAAUAAUCCAGGUGGGAAAAAAUGAUAGCUCAGACUAAGGUGGUGUUGGAGAAGUGGUACGGGAUGCUUGGAUUCAAGGUGUAUAUUGAAGCCGUGUUGAUGGUAGGAUGUGAAACGUGAGAAAGAUAUUAAUCAAAAGACAAAACCUAGAUUUUUGAUCUGAGCAACAAAGCGCAAGGAAGUGUCAUUUGCUAAGAUGGGGACCUCAAGGGAAGGGCAGGGUUUGGGGGUGAAGAUCGAAAACUAACCUGGAGGGUCAAUUCAACAACUGAAUGGAAACACCAUCAGGGGAGAGGUAGAGAGAAGAGGUGUACAUUUGGUUGUCAUCAGUGGGUAGAUGCAGUUUAAAGUCCUGGGCUCGAUGAGAUUGUCAAGUAAAGGACUAUAAAUAAGAAAAUGGCCAAGGGUGGAGCUUUAGAGAGUCUAGCAAUUAAAGGGUGAGCUGUGUGUGUGUGGGGGGGGGGGGGGUAGCUAGCAGAGGAGACUGAGCAGGAAAAAGCAGUGGGUAGGAGGACAACCAGGUGAGGGUUAAAGAAAAACAUGUUUUGGGGUGCUUGGGUGUUUCAGUUGGUUAAGUGUACAACUCUUGAUUUCGGCUUAGGUCAUGGUCUCCCAGUUGGUCCUGAGAUUCAGCUGGAUUCUGUGAUGGGUGUGGAGCCUGCUUGGGAUUCUCUCUCUCUCCCUUGUCCUCUGUCCUUACCCUGUGCACACACACGUGUGCAUACUCUCUCUUUCUCUCUGUCUCAAAAAAUUAAAACUGAAAAAAGAAGAACAUGUUUCAAGAAGGAGAGGUGAUCAUCAGGUCAUUGCUGCUGAAGGUCAAAUAAGGUAAGGAGAGAUUUGGCCAUUGGCUUUAGCAAAGCGUAGCCCUUUAUUGACCCUGAUACCCUAGUGAUGACAAACUCUUUAGACCUAUCAUGGUGGCUGCCCUUGAAUUUCUGGGUAAGGAUCCCAAGAUUAUGGAGCGUAGAGAUGACAGAGCCACCAUUUAUUUAGACAGUCUUCUAAGUUUGGACUCUGGAUCUGCCAGUAGCUGUGUGACCUUGGGUAAGUUGCUAACCCCCUCUGAACUUCACUUUCUUCAUCUGUAGAUGGGCAAAGAUAAUGCCUGUCUUAUAAAUUAUGGUGAAGCAUGGAUUACAUGAAAUCAUAUAUACAAAACAUCAAAUGCCUAGUAGGUACUUAUUAUUAUAAUUAUUAUAAUUAUUAUAAUUAUUGGUUUUAUUAAUAUUGUCAGCUUCAGAGUGGUACCUAUAUUUCUGAGAAAAUCAAUGUCCUAAUUUUGAAUGGGGCUUCAUUAAUGCUAAAGAAGGUGAUGGAAAGUUCUUUGCAGUUUCAGACAUUCUUCUCCCUGUGCCACCCCAAAUGCUCAGCACAGAAUUAGACCUAAUCUGAUUAUAUCAAUCUCUGCUUUGAGCAGUUUGUUGUGCUCUCUGGGAAGAGACCAAGACUGCUUCCUGGACCCACAAGGCCUGAGUAGUCCAGGCCCCCCACCUUGUCUCACACCAGGUCACUUCUCCAACUCCUCAUAGUUUCCUGAGAGUGCUGUUCUCUCUCCAGCAACAGGGCAUUGCUCAUGCUGUUCCCUCUUCCACAAAUUCCUUCUCUUCCCUCUUCCCUGUGUUAAAUUCUCAUCUUUCUCCUCCCGGGCCAAUGGUCACUCCCUUGGGAAGCCCUCCCUGAGCUCCUGGGCCGAGUCAAUUUCUUUGCUAGAAGUUGCCAGAGCUCCUGUGCCUCCUUCAUGGCCCUUACCCUAUUUCUGACCCUCCAUUCUUGGCAUGAACCUUGGUGUAAUACCUGACUUCACUAGACUCAAAGUGCAUGAGGGCAAGGCCAGGCCUGCUCUGCUCACCAGUGCUUAUCUUGUGUCAAGCCCAGGGUCCGGCACACAGGGAAAAUAAAAUACAGAAUUGUUGACUGAGUGAAUGAGUAGUUGUUUAACACAGUGAAUACGUGAACAGAUGGCUUUCCUUUUGCAGAGCAAUGCAGGUGUCUCUGAAAGGUUGUUUGAAAGGCAAAUAUAAAACCAAAUUUUAUUCCAUUUACUUUAAUUACAAUACUAAGGAGUGGGAAUAAAUCUUGCCCUUGAAAUAUAAUAAAGCCAUACAUUAAAACCUGGACUGUCAUUUCCACUUGUUUCCUUUCUACAAUGAUAAUCUCCUGAUAAGACAUAAAUAAUGGCACUUAAAAUAGGUUCCCGACUUGGCUCGGCCACUAACUAGCUGCUGAUCAUCGACAAGUCACUUAAGCUCUGCGAGUCACCAUUUACCUCAUAGGGUUCGUGUGAGGCUCUGGGUUGGUGGUGUGAAAGCUCUUUGCAAGCAAGGUCUUAUUUAUUAUCCAUUAUUCUCAAGAAUAUGAAUAACAAGCAGGACAGGCUGCGUGCCAGAGAUGGUUGAGUAGGUUUGUGGGGCUGGGGGAUGGCGGCCACAGAGAAAUAUGGAAAGGAAUGAGCUUGGUUAGGAAAUUUAAGAUGGGGAUAGAGGGGUGGGGGAUCAGAGAUCAUGAAGGCUGGGGGGUUAUGUCUAUCAGGCUAAGCAAAAAAAGGGGGGGUGUUGGUGUCUAAAGCUGGGGAAGGUGACCUGAAUAAAAUCACCCUCGUGGCUGAAUUCUUGGAAGCCACAUGAAGGAAGGAAAGAAUAACCCUCACCCUUAGGCUUGCCAUGUGGUUGCACAGGAGAGAUGCCGGGUGUCCCCCAGGUGACCUUGGCCUCUUAGGGCCGUGACUCUGCGGACAGGUCUGGGAGGCUGUCCAGGCGAAUUCUGCUGCCCAGUGCAGCCUGAGUUCAGUCCCCAGGAGCUGGCAUGGAAGCCCCCAAGCCCUGCAGUGGGAGCUAAGCCAGCAGGGCAGGGAGACGAGGGGUGAGCAAUCCAAAGCCUCCAGGGCUGGGCAGGAAAGCAGUAAAUGUGAGGAGUAGGCAGCCCCUGGAAACUCGCGGAGACCGGUGUCAUUCGUUCAUUCAUUCAUUCACUCACUCAUUCAACAAAUAAUAUUAAUUAAACAUCUCUCUAGGUGUCACGCACUGCUUGGUGCUGAAGAUAGAGCAUUUACAUUCCAGUGGGGGAGGCCGACUACGAGAAGUAAACAAACACAGAGUAAAGUGUCAGCUUGCGAUGGGUGCUAUGAAUAAAGAUAAUGCAGGGAGAAGAGAGAGUGAUGGAGGCAGUUAUUUUAAGUUGGAGGACCAGGAGAGGCCUCUCUAUCCUCCCUCCUCCCACACUCUCAGUGAUUUAACCAGAUUUCAUAGGGUUUUCUGGCCUCGUUCAUAGGUGCUAAUGAGCAGCUAGGCGUUGGCGUGGCUACAGUGAUAAAAAAGGGUUUCCCUGCACCCUCUGUAUCCCCGGCCUCUGAAGUAGGCUCAGCCCCAGCCAAGGGGAGCAGGUGCAAGGCUCAAAUCCUGAUUAAGAGUAAGUAUUCCCAUGUGUCUGUACAGCUGGAAACAGCUGGCCCUCUGAGUCAGCCGAGAAGGAGGCUGCAGGCUGCAGGCCAGUGGGUGGAGGGGGCGCAGGAGGGAAGCUCCAGGCUACAGUCGUCUGUCUCCUGCUCCGACAGCCUUACUCAGAGGGGAAUAGACAGACACAUGGAAUGCAGUAAAUCAGGGUAGGUCUCACUGCCCCAAAUAUGCACCUGCCUCACACCCAGUCUCUGACUGAAAUCUUACCAUGAGAUAGUCACUUUUGUGGAAGGUGCAAGGGCAUCUCAAAAUCUCUUUUUUUUUCUAAGACAGAUAAUGGCAAGGCAUGUGAUGACUUUCCAUCUCAAAGAGAAAGCUCUUACUAUGACCCAUAAGGAACUACAUGAUAUGCCAUGCCUGUUUUUGGGGGCUGGCUUUAUAAUUUGGGGGGGGCCCAGUACAAAAGGGCAAAUUGGCCCUGCUACAUUAUUGUGAGCUCCCUGAGGGUAGAGAUUCUUAUCUUUUUGUUUUGGUUUGAUGGCCAUUCUGUUGCCAACGCCUGGCACCCGACAGAAGCUCAUUAUGUAUUAUUGUUGAGCGAAGGUGUUUGAGUCAUGAUGUGGAUGUGUUGGGAGGGCUUCUUUUAACUUUUAGGAAGUAUUACUGCGCAUUAAGCACUGGUUUACGGCAGCGGUUGUCAACCCUGGCUGCACAUUGUUUUUUCUGCCCUAUCGUGGAGGUGUGUGCUGUCCGUGGAUAAAAGUUCUCUCCCUUCUUUCUUCUGACCUCUCUCCUCUCCAUGAGCCUCGGGGUGGGCACUGUGGUUAUUCCCGUUUUGCUGGUGAAGACAGCGAAGCUUGGAGAGGUGAAGAAGCUAAGUUGUGCAGUCUGUGAGCGGAGGGGCCUGGAAGGGAGCCCUAGCAGGCUGAUGUCAAGCCCUCCCACAGCUAGUCAUUGUGCCACAUGGCCGGCACCAAGUGUGUUCCUUCGUGGAAGCGGGACAUUCAUGAACCUCAUGUGUUUCCCUGGCCUCAUAGUCAAAACACCUGGGGCUCAUCCCCAGCUCCUCCACAGGCUGGUGUGUGACUGGGGCUCUUCUACCCGUGUGAUGGUGACACUGCUUCACUGACACUGCUUCACUGUUAGGUUUAGAGUCCCUCCUUUUGGGCCAGGAUGCGUCGCGGUAAAUGCCUUGGCCAACAGAGUACAAUGGAAGUAAUACUAUGUGACUUCUGAGACUAGAUCAUGAAAGUGUCCGCCUGCCUCUUUCACUCACUCAAUCUUGAGACAUGUGCCCCGGGGAGCCUUGUGUCAACAGGGGAAGACAGAAGAGGCAGAAGAGGAAGUCAGAGUGAUGACAUGUGAGAACAGCUCAGCUCACUGUUGCUGGCUUGAAGACAGAGGAAGGGGCUUUGCACUGUGGAACGUAGACAUCUUCUAGAAGCUGGAAAUGGUAAGGAAGUAGAUUCUCCUCUACAGCCACCAGAAAGGAACACAGCCAUCCCAACACCUUGACUUUAGCCCACUGGCACUCAUUUUGAACUUCUGACCUACGGAACUAAGAUAAAUAUGUGUUAUUUUAAGUCACUGAGUUUGUGGUAAUUAGUCAUGGCAGCAAUAGAAAACUAAUGGAGUUGAAACAGAAUAACAGGUACUCUCUACAGAACACAUGAAUGAAUGAUACAGAACCAUGUAAUGAAAUCAGAGAGAGAAAAGUGCUUAGAAUUCAAAGGAGGGAGACAUCUUUGCAGAUGUAGUCGAGAAAGGGUUCUUGGGGAAGGAGGAUUGUGGUUGUAGUAUUUUGCAAGCCUAACAAAAGGAGAUUUCUGGCUGAGAAAAGUAGAAUGUUCAAAGGCAGGAAUGAAUUGACAUGUUGCAGUCACUGAAAUUGCAAGGGUACAGUUGGAGGAGAGUAUGAGUUGGGGUUAGGUAGGUGAGAAAGGGCAGCUGAUGGAGAUUCUACAAAUCUGGGAUAAGAUGUUUUUAUUUGUUCCAGUUAGUCAAGAGAAGGCAGUGUAAGUUUUUGAGCAGAAACCUUUUCAUGAUGAAACAGUGGUGCCUGAGAUGGGUUAGGGACAACAGAAGCCAGAGGUGGGCCAGCCUGUCUGCAGGAGCAGUGGCUGUGAUUCAGAAAUUGCGGAGACAUGAGGGAGGAAGCAGAGACCCCUGGAAGGCG